rnacentral:pre_miRNA from 1 species
AGUGGGAUAGCUGGGUCAAAUAGUUUCGAUUCCAAGUUUUCUAAGUAAUCUCUAUAUUGCUUUCCAGAUUGGUUGCACAAAUUUGCAGUCCCACCAGCAAU